GAGUUUGAUCCUGGCUCAGAUUGAACGCUGGCGGCAUGCUUUACACAUGCAAGUCGGACGGCAGCACAGGGAAGCUUGCUUCUCGGGUGGCGAGUGGCGAACGGGUGAGUAACAUAUCGGAACGUACCGGGUAGCGGGGGAUAACUGAUCGAAAGAUCAGCUAAUACCGCAUACGUCUUGAGAGGGAAAGCAGGGGACCUUCGGGCCUUGCGCUAUCCGAGCGGCCGAUAUCUGAUUAGCUGGUUGGCGGGGUAAAGGCCCACCAAGGCGACGAUCAGUAGCGGGUCUGAGAGGAUGAUCCGCCACACUGGGACUGAGACACGGCCCAGACUCCUACGGGAGGCAGCAGUGGGGAAUUUUGGACAAUGGGCGCAAGCCUGAUCCAGCCAUGCCGCGUGUCUGAAGAAGGCCUUCGGGUUGUAAAGGACUUUUGUCAGGGAAGAAAAGGCCGUUGCCAAUAUCGGCGGCCGAUGACGGUACCUGAAGAAUAAGCACCGGCUAACUACGUGCCAGCAGCCGCGGUAAUACGUAGGGUGCGAGCGUUAAUCGGAAUUACUGGGCGUAAAGCGGGCGCAGACGGUUACUUAAGCAGGAUGUGAAAUCCCCGGGCUCAACCCGGGAACUGCGUUCUGAACUGGGUGACUCGAGUGUGUCAGAGGGAGGUGGAAUUCCACGUGUAGCAGUGAAAUGCGUAGAGAUGUGGAGGAAUACCGAUGGCGAAGGCAGCCUCCUGGGAUAACACUGACGUUCAUGUCCGAAAGCGUGGGUAGCAAACAGGAUUAGAUACCCUGGUAGUCCACGCCCUAAACGAUGUCAAUUAGCUGUUGGGCAACUUGAUUGCUUGGUAGCGUAGCUAACGCGUGAAAUUGACCGCCUGGGGAGUACGGUCGCAAGAUUAAAACUCAAAGGAAUUGACGGGGACCCGCACAAGCGGUGGAUGAUGUGGAUUAAUUCGAUGCAACGCGAAGAACCUUACCUGGUUUUGACAUGUGCGGAAUCCUCCGGAGACGGAGGAGUGCCUUCGGGAGCCGUAACACAGGUGCUGCAUGGCUGUCGUCAGCUCGUGUCGUGAGAUGUUGGGUUAAGUCCCGCAACGAGCGCAACCCUUGUCAUUAGUUGCCAUCAUUCGGUUGGGCACUCUAAUGAGACUGCCGGUGACAAGCCGGAGGAAGGUGGGGAUGACGUCAAGUCCUCAUGGCCCUUAUGACCAGGGCUUCACACGUCAUACAAUGGUCGGUACAGAGGGUAGCCAAGCCGCGAGGCGGAGCCAAUCUCACAAAACCGAUCGUAGUCCGGAUUGCACUCUGCAACUCGAGUGCAUGAAGUCGGAAUCGCUAGUAAUCGCAGGUCAGCAUACUGCGGUGAAUACGUUCCCGGGUCUUGUACACACCGCCCGUCACACCAUGGGAGUGGGGGAUACCAGAAGUAGGUAGGGUAACCGCAAGGAGUCCGCUUACCACGGUAUGCUUCAUGACUGGGGUGAAGUCGUAACAAGGUAGCCGUAGGGGAACCUGCGGCUGGAUCACC
rnacentral:rRNA from 1 species